rnacentral:rRNA from 1 species
GACGAACGCUGGCGGCGCGCUUAACACAUGCAAGUCGAGCGAUGAAAUUUCGACAGAUCCCUUCGGGGUGAAGAUGAAAUGGAUUAGCGGCGGACGGGUGAGUAACACGUGAGUAACCUGCCUUAGACAUUGGGAUAGCCUCGGGAAACCGGGAUUAAUACCAAAUGAAAUCACAUAUGCACAUGCAUAAAUGAUCAAAGCUCCGGCGGUCUAAGAUGGACUCGCGUCCCAUUAGCUAGUUGGUGAGGUAACGGCCCACCAAGGCGACGAUACAUAGCCGACCUGAGAGGGUGAUCGGCCACACUGGGACUGAGACACGGCCCAGACUCCUACGGGAGGCAGCAGUAGGGAAUCUUCGGCAAUGGGGGGAACCCUGACCGAGCAACGCCGCGUGAGUGAAGAAGGUUUUCGGAUCGUAAAGCUCUGUUGUUAAGGAAGAACGAGUGUGAGAAUGGAAAGUUCAUGCUGUGACGGUACUUAACCAGAAAGGGACGGCUAACUACGUGCCAGCAGCCGCGGUAAUACGUAGGUCCCGAGCGUUGUCCGGAUUUAUUGGGCGUAAAGCGAGCGCAGGCGGUUAGAAAAGUCUGAAGUGAAAGGCAGUGGCUCAACCAUUGUAGGCUUUGGAAACUGUUUAACUUGAGUGCAGAAGGGGAGAGUGGAAUUCCAUGUGUAGCGGUGAAAUGCGUAGAUAUAUGGAGGAACACCGGUGGCGAAAGCGGCUCUCUGGUCUGUAACUGACGCUGAGGCUCGAAAGCGUGGGGAGCGAACAGG